UACCCUUUUUGGUUGCUUAAAAGGGGCCCCAAAGUCACACCAUCUGGCUUAAGUAAUGAAGAAAGGGGAACCCUAGCAUUUUUUGCGCUGUUCAGCCCUUGUUCUAUUCUCACAUAUGGUGAAUGGCGCUUCGAUGGUGCCCUUUUUGUGCCCUUGUUUCGUUUCCCGCGCCGUGGUCUGCGAAUUUUGGCCUUGGAAUCCUCUCACCCUUCGACGCCGACAAAGAUGGUGGAUUCUAGUGGCUCGCAUGUGAAGGUAAGUCCCUUUUUUCUUUACUUUAUUUACUCUCGAAUAAUAAAGAAGAACACAAGACAAGGAACAAGCAAAAGAAAGGGAACGCCUGCAAAUCUAAAUCGGAAACAUCACCUUCGAAUCUUGGUGGCCUUUUCUUUGUAUUCAAUAUGCAAAUAGUGUCUGUUUGUAUUGCGUUUUCAAACGUGUCCUUUAUUACAAGGUUAAAAUCUGGCUUUAUAGCCGGAAAGAAAGAGGAAAAAUAAAUCAAAAUACAACAUUUUCUUUGUUUUGUUUUUUUUCACUGCUGUGUUUGCCUCAUUCGUUUACAGGUACAGAGUACGGGUUACGGGCGUGGCGCCAGGAGGCUGGGGCGUAUAGAGCUGUUGACGUGGCUGUUGGAGGCCUGGAGGCUGAGUUGUACGGCGCCUGAAGGCUGCUGGGGUUGCUGUGGCGCAAGCCAAGGCUACUAGGGUUUCUGCCUUGGCUUUUGUUUUAGACCUUGGGCCUAUUGGGCCAUACGAGUUUUGGGUUAAGGUUUUACACUUAAGCUGGUUAGCUUGUAUUGGGUAUGGGCUUAGCUAUUGGACUGUGGUUUUUUAUUAUUAUUUAUUUAUUUAUUUAUUUAUUUUAUAUAUAGGUUUGGGAUUUUUUAGCAGGCCGGGGACAAAAUUGGUCACUACAAUAUUCAAUAUUCAAUAGAGUAGACCUCGGGUGUUUAGAAGAACUUACAACUGUAUCUUUGCUCCCAAACCUAAUCUGAUAAGCAUAAUCUAGCUAUGUGAUCAAGGAGGGCGCGAGAACAUUUGAUAAUUAUUAUAGAUUUGUGGAGCCAAUACAUCAAACCUUGAAUUGUGGGUUGAAUCUCUUGGAGAUGUACGCUUUAGAGGCUCGUUGGUUAGAUAGAAUAUUGUUCGUGGUUUGACCAAGUUAGGGGAAGCAAUUCAUAAGUUGUGCAGUGAACGUUUGAAAGAGAAACAACGACAUGAGUCACAUCCUUGGUUGUAAUUUGUAUGAAGAACUAGUGUAAGGCCCAAAUUCUGCCCGGGCCCAACAACCAAAAAAUCAAGAUAAAAAUAAAUAAAAAUUAUAACAGUCCAUUAAAUGUUUAAAGCCCAGUUACAUAACCAGUGACCCAAUAACUAAUGCCCUACAGCCCAAUAUCAAUUACUAGCCCGUUGGGCAAAGUGUUCUGAGAAAGGAAACCCUACAGCGUCCUCAUCACUUCCGCGCCGCAACCACAGACGAGCCCCACCCCCAGCGCCGUACGCUCGUGCCUCCACGUCAACAGCCCUCGUACACCCACGCCAAGCGCCAAUACGACCCCCGUACACGCGCCCUGCUCCGCACCUAUAAACAAAAACAAACAAAAUGACAGUAGGACAACAACAAAUGGUAGCAAAGAAAAAAUAGCAAGGAAUUUCUUUGUAUUUUUUCAUUUGAUUUCGGCUAUAAAGCCAUUUUUCUUUUAUUUGUAACGGGGGGAAACUCGUUUUCUAAAAAAGGCAAUAUACUCACAAAAAAAAAAGAGCUGAUUCACAUAUUGAAUAGAAAGAAAUAACAAAAGGUGAUUUCUUUGGUUUUUCUUCUAGGUUUUUUGCUUUAGUUUUCUACGAGUUGAUUCGUUUUCUCGUUAAGCCUAUCUUCAUUGUUUUGUUAAGAGAUCAAAG
rnacentral:lncRNA from 1 species